CCUACGGGUGGCAGCAGUGAGGAAUAUUGGUCAAUGGGCGCGAGCCUGAACCAGCCAAGUCGCGUGAAGGAUGACUGUCCUACGGGUUGUAAACCUCUUUUAUCAGGGAACAAAGUCAGGCGCGCGUGCCCGGUUGAGUGUACUUGAUGAAAAAGGAUCGGCUAACUCCGUGCCAGCAGCCGCGGUAAUACGGAGGAUGCGAGCGUUAUCCGGAUUUAUUGGGUUUAAAGGGUGCGUAGAUGGGUUGUUAAGUCAGUGGUGAAAGUUCGCGGCUCAACCGUAGGAUUGCAAUGGAUACUGGCAGUCGUGAGUUCAGGUGAGGUAGGCGGAAUUCGUGGUGUAGCGGUGAAAUGCUUAGAUAUCACGAAGAACUCCGAUUGCGAAGGCAGCUUACUAGACUGCCACUGACGUUGAUGCUCGAAAGCGUGGGUAUCAAACAGGAUUAGAUACCCGUGUAGUC
rnacentral:rRNA from 1 species